rnacentral:rRNA from 1 species
GACGAACGCUGGCGGCGUGCUUAACACAUGCAAAUCGAACGGAAAGGCCCUGCUUUUGUGGGGUGCUCGAGUGGCGAACGGGUGAGUAACACGUGAGUAACCUGCCCUUGACUUUGGGAUAACUUCAGGAAACUGGGGCUAAUACCGGAUAGGAGCUCCUGCUGCAUGGUGGGGGUUGGAAAGUUUCGGCGGUUGGGGAUGGACUCGCGGCUUAUCAGCUUGUUGGUGGGGUAGUGGCUUACCAAGGCUUUGACGGGUAGCCGGCCUGAGAGGGUGACCGGCCACAUUGGGACUGAGAUACGGCCCAGACUCCUACGGGAGGCAGCAGUGGGGAAUAUUGCACAAUGGGCGGAAGCCUGAUGCAGCAACGCCGCGUGCGGGAUGACGGCCUUCGGGUUGUAAACCGCUUUCGCCUGUGACGAAGCGUGAGUGACGGUAAUGGGUAAAGAAGCACCGGCUAACUACGUGCCAGCAGCCGCGGUGAUACGUAGGGUGCGAGCGUUGUCCGGAUUUAUUGGGCGUAAGGGCUCGUAGGUGGUUGAUCGCGUCGGAAGUGUAAUCUUGGGGCUUAACCCUGAGCGUGCUUUCGAUACGGGUUGACUUGAGGAAGGUAGGGGAGAAUGGAAUUCCUGGUGGAGCGGUGGAAUGCGCAGAUAUCAGGAGGAACACCAGUGGCGAAGGCGGUUCUCUGGGCCUUUCCUGACGCUGAGGAGCGAAAGCGUGGGGAGCGAACAGGCUUAGAUACCCUGGUAGUCCACGCUGUAAACGGUGGGUACUAGGUGUGGGGUCCAUUCCACGGGUUCCGUGCCGUAGCUAACGCUUUAAGUACCCCGCCUGGGGAGUACGGCCGCAAGGCUAAAACUCAAAGGAAUUGACGGGGCCCCGCACAAGCGGCGGAGCAUGCGGAUUAAUUCGAUGCAACGCGUAGAACCUUACCUGGGUUUGACAUGGAUCGGGAGUGCUCAGAGAUGGGUGUGCCUCUUUUGGGGUCGGUUCACAGGUGGUGCAUGCCUGUCGUCAGCUCGUGUCGUGAGAUGUUGGGUUAAGUCCCGCAACGAGCGCAACCCUUGUUCACUGUUGCCAGCACGUUAUGGUGGGGACUCAGUGGAGACCGCCGGGGUCAACUCGGAGGAAGGUGGGGAUGACGUCAAGUCCUCAUGCCCCUUAUGUCCAGGGCUUCACGCAUGCUACAAUGGCUGGUACAGAGAGUGGCGAGCCUGUGAGGGUGAGCGAAUCUCGGAAAGCCGGUCUCAGUUCGGAUUGGGGUCUGCAACUCGACCUCAUGAAGUCGGAGUCGCUAGUAAUCGCAGAUCAGCAACGCUGCGGUGAAUACGUUCCCGGG